AGGUUAACUACGUCAGGAUUAGUGUGUUCCACUUCUGCUCCAUGAGAAAAGGGGGGAAUUAAGUCCUUUUCAUUGAUCAUUCUUUCUAUACACAGAGAUUACAAAGUAAGAGCUUUAACAUACUCGUGAAAGACAUUUUGUUCUGGAUGUUAUCAUCUCCUUCCACUACAGCUUGCAAUAGGAACAAGCUUCACGUCCUGGGGGUGCUGCCUAUCUGUCUUGAUUUCUGUCUGUCUCUUCCUCUCAUUGACAGGAAUGUCAUUUGUAUGCUUCACGCAGCAGUUUGCAAAAAUCCAACAAGGUUUAUGGUUUAUGUUGCCCAGCAUGUAUAAACAUAACACUCUCAAAUGUUUUUUUAAAAAUCAUAUGAAUUUGUUAUAUUUCUUAACAUUCUGGUCCCUCUACCCCACCCCAAUUCUCACACACAAGUACACUGUUUUCCUGAUAUAGUCAUACGAUAGUUGUGGCUGGGAUUAGGUUGACAACCUAAGCCCCAAGAAGGGUCUGGCAUUUUCACAGCAGCCUUUCCCCAGUGCUUUGAGUCUUCCUCUCCCACUCCCUUUUUCUCCCUCCCUCUAGCACAGGGCAGGGGGAGGAGGUGGGGGGGGAUGAUUAGCAAAUGUUUCAGAUAAUCUGUGAAUUCUUAAUAGUUAUAUUUCCAUGGUUGAAGAUCUCCCUAUUUCUGUGAUGUGACAGGUUUCAAAAACCUUGGUGUUAGGGGUUUUACAGAUAUUUCCAAGUUCCAGGAGUUUGAAAUUUGGGUCAAGAUCCUGAUUCCCUUUAGUAUGUGAGGGCAAAGGCGAUUUUAUUUUGCUUUAUUCUUCCGAAUGUUAUGGGAUGAGAUUAUAUCCAAUCCUGGCUGUAACCUGUACCAUAAAUGCAGAGUUGCAACCAUUAUUUCUGCCUUUUUCUCCUUUUAUUAUCUGUACUUCUAAUGUUAUUACUUUGAGUUUUAUUGCCAUCAACUGUGUCUUUAGUUUUAAAACAUUCUUUUUCAUACACCCUAUAGGGGCACUUCUCUCAUAAUCUGAGACAAAUUUUGGACUAUUAAUAUUCCAGCUGAAAGUAUACCAUACGCUUUCAUUGCCAACAUGGGCUUUGAAGCUUGAAUAUCAACAUUUUGAUAGGAAAUUCAAUCAUGUAGAAUUUAAAUGUAUUUGUUCAUAUUUCUUAGAAAAAAAGAUUUUGGAUAACCGUCAAUUAAGUGUCCAAUUCCAUUUGGGGUGCAGAAAAUUUUGAGCCCCUGGAUAAGAAGUAAAAAAAUUAUUUCCUCUAAAUAACCAAUUCUAGAUUAGUAGAUUGCACUUUUCUAAAUAUUUAUGAUUAACAAAACUUUUUUUGUCUGAUUCCAAUAGAAGCAUCCUAUGUUCUGAAGACUAUAAAAGUAUGGGAGAAAAAAAUGUCAAGUCUAAAUUUUAACCAUAAGUAAGGCAUUGUUUUUCUGGACUUGCGAUACAAUGGGAAUGCAUUGCUAGACUUUUCUAUUUUCUUAUAAUUAAAUAAAAAAUAGUUUAAAUGAUAGAGCAAGCCAAUUGAAAAGUUGCUUUUGAAUAAAACAGAAAAAUGGGAAUGCCAACUUUCUUUUCUUCUCUAUAACUUCAUUAACAUGGUUGUAUAGACAUUUGCAUGUAAAAUGUAGUUAACAAAAAUUACACAGAAGUAAAUUUAGUCCUCUAGUGCUUACCUCUAUGGUGAAAUCAGACCAUUUGGCAUAGCUUGAAGUCUUCCAAGAAGCCUGGUUUCCACCUGGAAAAUAAAUUACUAAAUUUGAAUGUGUUACUUAUACUAUGGUGAGUUGUCUAUCUGUUACAUUUUAUUUUAGUGCAUAUACUAGAAAUUGUAUUUAGAGUGUUCUAAAAUUGUCAUCUGUCAAGGUAGAGAAUUAUAAUAAUAUAAUUAAACCCAGAAAAAGUGUUCUGACUUUAGAUUAUUUUGGCACUGUUACAAAUAUGAUGCAUUUUUAAAAUUCAGAAUGUUUAUCACAAAUUCAUAUGUUUAAUUGUCAAUUUUUGAGAUUGAUUUAGAUUAGCUAUAACCAAAGUUUAUUUUCUAUGAAUUUAUUAAUAUAUAGUUAAUGCUUAUACAUGAGCUUCAAUAUAACACAUAUAUACUAUUGCAAUAUUUAGCUGUACUUACUUUGCUUUAUCUUUAAAUGGUAUUUCAUCUCAAAAUUUUCUGAGUUUGAUAAAUACCAAAUAUUUAUCAAAU